AUUGAACGCUGGCGGCAGGCCUAACACAUGCAAGUCGAGCGAGCGGCGGACAGGUGAGUAAUGUAUGGGGACUGCCCGAUCGAGGGGGAUAACUACUGGAAACGGUGGCUAAUACCGCAUACUCUCGGAUGCCCCAUUUGGGAUUAGCUGGUAGGUAGGGUAAUGGCUCACCCAGGCGCCGAUCCCUAGCUGGUCUGAGAGUAUGAUCAGCCAAACUGGAACUGAGACACGGCCCAGACUCCUACGGAGGCAGCAGUGGUGAAUAUUGCACAAUGGGCGCAAGCCUGAUGCAGCCAUGCCGCGGGUAUGAAGAAGGCCCUCGGGUUGUAAAGUACUUUCAGUCGGGAGGCGUUACCGACAGAAGAAGCACCGGCUAACUCCGUGCCAGCAGCCGCGGUAAUUC
rnacentral:rRNA from 1 species